UGGGGAAUUGUUCGCAAUGGGCGCAAGCCUGACGACGCAACGCCGCGUGGAGGAUGAAGGUCUUCGGAUUGUAAACUCCUGUUGCCUGGGACGAAUGGCUCCAACCUAAUACGUUGGAGUGUGACGGUACCAGGUGAGGAAGCCCCGGCUAACUCUGUGCCAGCAGCCACGGUAAUACAGAGGGGGCAAGCGUUGUUCGGAAUUACUGGGCGUAAAGGGCGCGUAGGCGGCCUGUUAAGUCGAACGUGAAAUCCCCGGGCUCAACCCGGGAACUGCGUCCGAUACUGGCAGGCUUGAAUUCGGGAGAGGGAUGCGGAAUUCCAGGUGUAGCGGUGAAAUGCGUAGAUAUCUGGAGGAACACCGGUGGCGAAGGCGGCAUCCUGGACCGAGAUUGACGCUGAGGCGCGAAAGCCAGGGGAGCAAA
rnacentral:rRNA from 1 species